rnacentral:rRNA from 1 species
UAUUGCACAAUGCGGGAAACCCUGAAGCAGCGACGCCGCGGGAGUGAGGAAGUAUUUCGGUAUGUAAAGCUCUAUCAGCAGUGAAGAAGAAAUGACGGUACCUGAGUAAGAAGCCCCGGCUAACUACGUGCCAGCAGCCGCGGUAAUACGUAGGGGGCAAGCGUUAUGCGGAAUUACUGGGUGUAAAGGGAGCGUAGACGGUGAUGUAAGUCUGGAGUGAAAGGCGGGGGCCCAACCCCCGGACUGCUCUGGAAACUAUGUGACUGGAGUGCAGGAGAGGUGAGCGGAAUUCCUAGUGUAGCGGUGAAAUGCGUAGAUAUUAGGAGGAACACCAGUGGCGAAGGCGGCUCACUGGACUGUAACUGACGUUGAGGCUCGAAAGCGUGGGGAGCAAACAG